GGGACUGUUAGGUUUCUACAUGUUAGUAUUGUUUUGAAGGUUAGUAUUUCGUUGAUUCUAGCAAUCAGAUGAAACUAAAACAAAUGCAAAAAAUCAAAUCAUCCCUUUGUCUCGAGGUUUAGUUACAGCUUAAUUGCAAGAUUUAUAUUGUAAACCAAGGUUUCUAAACGUUGAGUGUCAAUUAUUCAUACUGCAUGAUAUAGUUGAUAAUUUAUUUAAGCGGUGCUCCUAGAUGACUGUUAAGUUGAAAUAUUGAACAGCUUUAGGUAAAGUUGAAUAUAUACAGUUAAUCUAUGUUUUUCUAUAUCUAGUAACUAGAUACCUUCCAAAAUAUUAUUAUUAACAUGGACGUGGGUUCGAGUCCCACCAGUUCCA
rnacentral:tmRNA from 1 species